rnacentral:rRNA from 1 species
ACUACGGUGCUGAAGCAACAAAUGCCCUGCUUCCAGGAAAAGCCUCUAAGCAUCAGGUAACACGAAAUCGUACCCCAAACCGACACAGGUGGUCAGGUAGAGAAUACCAAGGCGCUUGAGAGAACUCGGGUGAAGGAACUAGGCAAAAUGGUGCCGUAACUUCGGGAGAAGGCACGCUGACACGUAGGUGAAGUGAUUUACUCAUGGAGCUGAAGUCAGUCGAAGAUACCAGCUGGCUGCAACUGUUUAUUAAAAACACAGCACUGUGCAAACACGAAAGUGGACGUAUACGGUGUGACGCCUGCCCGGUGCCGGAAGGUUAAUUGAUGGGGUCAGCGCAAGCGAAGCUCCUGAUCGAAGCCCCGGUAAACGGCGGCCGUAACUAUAACGGUCCUAAGGUAGCGAAAUUCCUUGUCGGGUAAGUUCCGACCUGCACGAAUGGCGUAAUGAUGGCCAGGCUGUCUCCACCCGAGACUCAGUGAAAUUGAACUCGCUGUGAAGAUGCAGUGUACCCGCGGCAAGACGGAAAGACCCCGUGAACCUUUACUAUAGCUUGACACUGAACAUUGAGCCUUGAUGUGUAGGAUAGGUGGGAGGCUUUGAAGUGUGGACGCCAGUCUGCAUGGAGCCGACCUUGAAAUACCACCCUUUAAUGUUUGAUGUUCUAACGUGGACCCGUAAUCCGGGUUGCGGACAGUGUCUGGUGGGUAGUUUGACUGGGGCGGUCUCCUCCUAAAGAGUAACGGAGGAGCACGAAGGUUGGCUAAUCCUGGUCGGACAUCAGGAGGUUAGUGCAAUGGCAUAAGCCAGCUUGACUGCGAGCGUGACGGCGCGAGCAGGUGCGAAAGCAGGUCAUAGUGAUCCGGUGGUUCUGAAUGGAAGGGCCAUCGCUCAACGGAUAAAAGGUACUCCGGGGAUAACAGGCUGAUACCGCCCAAGAGUUCAUAUCGACGGCGGUGUUUGGCACCUCGAUGUCGGCUCAUCACAUCCUGGGGCUGAAGUAGGUCCCAAGGGUAUGGCUGUUCGCCAUUUAAAGUGGUACGCGAGCUGGGUUUAGAACGUCGUGAGACAGUUCGGUCCCUAUCUGCCGUGGGCGCUGGAGAACUGAGGGGGGCUGCUCCUAGUACGAGAGGACCGGAGUGGACGCAUCACUGGUGUUCGGGUUGUCAUGCCAAUGGCACUGCCCGGUAGCUAAAUGCGGAAGAGAUAAGUGCUGAAAGCAUCUAAGCACGAAACUUGCCCCGA